AAAUUGAAGAGUUUGAUCAUGGCUCAGAUUGAACGCUGGCGGCAGGCCUAACACAUGCAAGUCGAACGGUAACAGGAAGAAGCUUGCUUCUUUGUUGACGAGUGGCGGACGGGUGAGUAAUGUCUGGGAAACUGCCUGAUGGAGGGGGAUAACUACUGGAAACGGUAGCUAAUACCGCAUAACGUCGCAAGACCAAAGAGGGGGACCUUCGGGCCUCUUGCCAUCGGAUGUGCCCAGAUGGGAUUAGCUAGUAGGUGGGGUAACGGCUCACCUAGGCGACGAUCCCUAGCUGGUCUGAGAGGAUGACCAGCCACACUGGAACUGAGACACGGUCCAGACUCCUACGGGAGGCAGCAGUGGGGAAUAUUGCACAAUGGGCGCAAGCCUGAUGCAGCCAUGCCGCGUGUAUGAAGAAGGCCUUCGGGUUGUAAAGUACUUUCAGCGGGGAGGAAGGGAGUAAAGUUAAUACCUUU
rnacentral:rRNA from 1 species